UGGGGAAUCUUGCACAAUGGGCGAAAGCCUGAUGCAGCAACGCCGCGUGGGUGAAGAAGGUCUUCGGAUUGUAAAGCCCUUUCGGCUGGGAAGAAGGGCAUGGCGGUGAAUAAUCGUCAUGUUUGACGGUACCAGAAGAAGACGCACCGGCUAAUUCCGUGCCAGCAGCCGCGGUAAUACGUAGGGCGCAAGCGUUAUCCGGAAUUAUUGGGCGUAAAGAGCUCGUAGGCGGUUUGUCGCGUCUGCCGUGAAAGUCCGGGGCUCAACUCCGGAUCUGCGGUGGGUACGGGCAGACUAGAGUGAUGUAGGGGAGACUGGAAUUCCUGGUGUAGCGGUGAAAUGCGCAGAUAUCAGGAGGAACACCGGUGGCGAAGGCGGGUCUCUGGGCCGUAACUGACGCUGAGGAGCGAAAGCAUGGGUAGCGAA
rnacentral:rRNA from 1 species